AGUGAACGCUGGCGGUAGGCCUAACACAUGCAAGUCGAACGGCAGCACAGUAAGAGCUUGCUCUUACGGGUGGCGAGUGGCGGACGGGUGAGGAAUACAUCGGAAUCUACUUUUUCGUGGGGGAUAACGUAGGGAAACUUACGCUAAUACCGCAUACGACCUACGGGUGAAAGCAGGGGAUCUUCGGACCUUGCGCGAUUGAACGAGCCGAUGUCGGAUUAGCUAGUUGGCGGGGUAAAGGCCCACCAAGGCGACGAUCCGUAGCUGGUCUGAGAGGAUGAUCAGCCACACUGGAACUGGGACACGGUCCAGGCUCCUACGGGAGGCAGCAGUGGGGAAUAUUAGACAGUGGGCGCAAGCCUGAUCCAGCCAUACCGCGUGGGUGAAGAAGGCCUUCGGGUUGUAAAGCCCUUUUGUUGGGAAAGAAAAGCAGCAGGUUAAUACCCCGCUGUUCUGACGGUACCCAAAGAAUAAGCACCGGCUAACUUCGUG
rnacentral:rRNA from 1 species